rnacentral:tRNA from 1 species
GCGGGUAUGGCGGAACAGGUAGACGCACAGGACUUAAAAUCCUGAGGGAGCAAUCCCGUGCCGGUUCGAUUCCGGCUACCCGCACCA